GUGACAGUAUGGAUGUUGAGAUCGCGAACACCGCUCCCGGUGUUCUCCUCCUCUCACGAAGAUCGAAUUUAGGUAGAGAAUUCAGAGUAGGGUAUUACAACGACAGAGCGUCGCCUUCCUUCCGGUCGCAGCCGGCCAAAUGGUGUCUUCCGACAUAACCCUCUCCACGCAGUGUUGCACCCCCUCAAAUACCAACAGCGUAUCUCUCAGGAAAAUUAAGAAACGAAACCACUACUGGGUCCAUUUUGGCCCACUCACUCUAUCAUUGGGCUUUCGAAUUCUCUGCGGCCUUCCUUUCAAGUUAGGAUCCUCUGGUAUUGUGACAUUCUCCCCUCCUUGAGACAAGGCUUGUCCCCAAGCCGUAAAUUCUGGAAAUCGGAGCUUGAUUGUAGCCUCAUCUUCCCACGUUGCCAACUCUUCCGGCCAGGAGGACCAUUUGAUUAACAGCUGCGGGACAUCUCCAGACGGGUGCCGAAUGAUCCUGCGCUGCAAAACAUUCUCUGGUUUUUGGGAGGAAUCUGAAACAGAUGGUAGUGUAGGACUCACCUGGACGUGAGGUCCCAAUGCCUUCUUGAGAAGCGAGACAUGGAAUACUGGAUGAAUGUGGCAAGAUUCUGGCAAGCGUAGUUUGUAAGCAACAGAGCCAACCUUUUCGAUCACUGGGUAAGGGCCGAAAAAUUUGAAUGCCAGUUUGUGGUUCGCGCGACGGACCAAGGAUGCCUGAACAUAAGGCUGCAGUUUGAGGUAGACCCAGUCACCAAUCUGAAAGGUGCGUUCAGUGCGAUUUUUGUCAGCCUGUGCCUUCUGACGGAGUUGAGCUCGAACGAGUUGCUGUUGGACCAGUUGAAUUACCAUCUUUCUUUCAUCAAGCCAAGAUUGCAAGCAGGGCACUUCGCAUGCUGUUCUGAAAUCCACCCCUAGAUGGCGUGGAGGGUAACCAUACAACACUUCAAAUGGCAUGAGUUUCAAGGAAGUGUGAUAGCUAGUAUUGUACCAAUACUCGGCUAAGGACAGCCAUUUCUUCCAUUUAGUAGGACAGGCUUGAACAAAACAGCGAAGGUAAGUUUCAAGGCAUUGAUUGACUCGCUCAGUUUGACCGUCAGAUUGGGGAUGGUACGCUGUGGUGAAUCGUAAUUCCACUCCGGCUAACUUGAACAAUUCUUUCCAUAAAGCACUAGUGAAAAUCCGAUCACGGUCAGUCACUAUAGAUGAAGGAAAUCCAUGCAGCUUAAAAACACUGUCCAUGAAGUGUUGAGCCACUCCCAUAGCUGUAAACGGGUGACGCAUGGGAAUAAAGUGGCUGUAUUUAGAAAAUUUGUCUACAACGACCAUAAUACAGUUUGAGUGAUCCGAUGUUGGCAAACCUUCAAUAAAAUCCAUCGUGAUCAUUUUCCAAGCGCCAUCUGGAACUGGUAAAGGUUGGAGGAGUCCAGGGUAUUUUACUCGUUCAACCUUUGCUUGUUGACAGACUGCACAGUGAUUGCACCAGUCUUUGAUCAUCUGUUUCAUACCUGUCCAUCUAAACAUUCUUUUAAUCUUCUGGUAUGUUACCAAAAAUCCUGAAUGUCCUCCAAUAGGGGUGUCAUGGAAUGAGGAAAAUAUUUUCUUCGGAAAUUCUGAUUGAGCCGGCAGCACCACUCUGUCUUUGAACCAAAUCAACCCAUUUUGCAGUCUGUACUGAGCUGAAGGAGUCUGGGCUGCAAGCAUUUUCAGAAGAGGAGCAGUAUCCGAGUGGCUCGAGUAAGAAUCUGCGACAGUAAACAGCCAGGUAGGUUGCACCGUUGUGAUGGAAUAUAAAUGAUCACCAGGAAGACGCGAUAGAGCAUCAGCCACCCGGUUUGUGUGUCCCUGUUUAUAGCAGAUCUUAUAUCGCAGACCGAGUAAUUUAGUCAAAGCUUUUUGUUGCCACGGGGUCGUCAAACGUUGGUCAUCUAGAUGAAUUAAGCUGCGCUGGUCCGUGCGAAUGAUAAAUUCACUGCAGAUGAGGUAAGAUCUCCAGUGUUCCACUGCCAUCAGGAUUGCCAAACAUUCCUUCUCAUAAGUUGACAAGGCUUGAUGACGAGGGCCCAAGGCCUUGCUAACAAACGCGAUGGGGUGACCUGCUUGAUGUAAAACUGCUCCGAUGCCCUUGUCGCUAGCAUCGGUUUCAAUCUCAAAUUGUUGAGAGAAGUCAGGUAGAGCGAGCACCGGUGCGUUGAUCAGCGCUUGUUUCAAGGCAUUAAAAGCUUGUUCAUGUUCAGAAUGCCAUACAAACAGCUGUCCCUUUUUUAGCAGAUUGGUCAGUGGUCGGCUGAGAAUUCCGAAGUUAGCUACAAACUUCCUAUAGUAACCCGCUAGACCCAGAAAGCUUCGUAUCUCUUUGGCUGAUCGAGGAGAUGGCCAUGAUUUGAUGACCGACACUUUUCCAGGAUCUGUAGCCACCCCAUUUUGGCUAAUCACAUGACCUAGGUAAUGAAGUUGUGUUUUAGCAAAAGAACACUUUGAGAGGUUCACUUUAAAAUGAUGUUGGUCCAAUGUAGCAAACACUGCUCGGAGUUGAUGUAAGUGUGUAGUCCAAUUUGAACUGUAAAUCAAGAUGUCGUCUAUGAACACGACCACACAUUUUCUGAGAAAUGGAGACAAUACUGAAUUCAUGGCUAGUUGGAAAGUUGCUGGACCCCCGGUGACACCAUAAGGCAUCACUUUAUACUCAUAGUGACCAUUGUGAGUUUGAAAAGCUGUUUUGUGAACAUCCUGAGGAUCCAUUUGAAUUUGAUGAUAUCCCGAACUCAAGUCCAAACUUGUAAACCACAAAGCACCCUGAAGCUCAUCCAAAAGUUCAUCAAUUAUUGGCAAUGGGUACUUGUUUUUCACCGUGAGGGCAUUGAGACGUCGGUAAUCGACAUAGAGUCUCCAAUCCCCUGUCUUUUUGCGAGCUAGGAUGAUAGGAGAAGCAAAGGGACUGCUACUCGGUUGAAUCAUCCCCGACUUGAGAAGGUCUGCAACCUGUCGCUCAAUUUCAUCCUUUUGGGCAGGAUUAUAGCGGUAGGGACGUAACCGGAACGGUGUUGCUCCUUGAAUAAGAGGAAUGGAAUGGCAAUGAGAUCUGGGAGGAGGAAGUCCACAUGGUUUAUCGAACAAAGAGGCAAAUUCCUGAAUUAAACUCUGAAUUUCAACUGGGAGCUCAUCCUGGGGUGGUGUUUGAUCAAGUUGAUUGACAGUUUGCAAGUGGAGAACACACCAUAAUUGUUCUUGUUGCUGUAGAUGAAACAGUUGAGGAACUGAGAUAUGUGUCAGAUUGGAAUUGUCUGAACGCAAUCCCUGUAGCACCACUUCCUUACCAUUACUCUGGAAUGUCAACCACUUAUGUUGCCAGUGAAUAUACAUGGGACUAUGUGAAGAUAACCAGUCCAUACCCAAUAUAAUAUCAUAGCAGUUCAAAGGCAGAACUUUGAGAUCAAUAUAGAAACAGUGACCUUGCAGUUGUACUUUGCACUGGGGCAAUUCAUGAGUACAAGAGAUAACUUGUCCAUUAGCGACACGAACUUGGACAGGUGUCGGUAAAGGAAUCAGAUUAGGGUGCGAAUUAGCCAAUCUGUCCGAGAUGAAAGAAGACGAACUUCCAGAAUCAACCAACAUAAUCACCUUCUUAGUGAAAAUGGAAGCGAGCAAUUUAACUGUUUGUGGAGCCUCAGUACCUAGGACAGCAUUCACUGACAAAAACAUGAAAUCUUCUCCAGAAUCCUCUUGAAGGGAUGAUUGCUCAUUUUCGGCCUCAGUUGAGCCGACCAAUUGCCAUAGUUCUUCCACCAUGUGUAGAGGUACAGUGGGGCUGCACUUGUGGGCUCGAUUCCAUCUUAAGCCACAUUUAUAACAUAGACCUUUAGCUCGACGGUAAGCCAUCAGGGCUGCUGCUUUACUCUGAUCGGACUGCUGUUUGGGAUAAUCUGGCAUACCAUGCUUCUCAGAACCACCAGUUCGACUGUUCACUUCUGGCAUUGACAGGGGUGGCGAGGUGGUAUACUGAGAACGAUUGGGCUGCUUUGAUGCUGCUUGUUCAGGCCCUUUUUGAUGGUUAGACUUGAUGUGUGGUGUCAACAAUUCUUCCUGCAAUAAGGCGAGAGAAACAGCAGUAUCCAAAUCCAAAGGUCGAUGAAUGAAAACAACUUGUUUAAUAUCUGAACGUAAGCCAUCUACGAAACGAUUAACAAUUGUCGAGAUACUGAAAAGGCGGUCAUGGGCUAAAAUCUGAUGCAUCAAAGAAUCAAACUGGUCCACAUACUCAGACACACUAUCAAGCUGUCGAAUAUGGAAGAAUUGACGGAUAAGGUGGUUGUGAUGAUCCCUCUCAAAACGAGCACACACUGCAGAACAUAAUUCUUGCCAGGAAGGGGGGCGAGCAGUUGGAUCAACCGACUGCCACCAAAAGGCUGUUGAUCCCACAAAGUGCAUGGAGGCUAUUUUGACCCAAAGAUGAUUAGGGAUACUAAACACAUCAAAAUAAGACUCACACUUGGCUUUCCACAUCUUAGGGUGAUGGCCAUCAAAUUGGGGAAAGCUAAUUUGUGGUAAUGAUGCAGCUAAGUGGGCGGUGUAAGAAGACAACAAAGGAUCUACAAAAUGUUCAGCAGCUGGUAUAGCAGACUCAGAGUUGGGAUGGAUCUGGUUAAUACCUGUGACCGGAGGUGGGGUCAAGGUGGUGACCACCCCGAACCCAUCACCCCGGUGAUGUUGAGCAGAACGGUGGCCGUAGCCGUCGUAAGCCACCCUGUGGAUGUAUGGAGGUGUGUUGGAUCCGCCAGGUUCCAGAGGAAUAUUGUCGAACACCUUAGGGGCAGGGUGAACAACAUCACGCCUCGUCACCAAUUCAUCCACCUUGGUCGAGAGGUUGCCCACCUCCAUGCGUAGAUGAGAAACUUCUGCUUCGAUGGUAGGUUUCCAUGUGGACAGAUCACGUACCGCCGCCGUGUUCUCAUCCAGCGCCGACUUGAUUGAGUCAUUUUGCAGCUGCAGCGCUUGAAGAAGAGCCGUCAAAUCCGCGACAUGCUUCUCCAUGGCUUCGGAUUGCUGCUGCCCUCUGGUCUUGUACUGCGGCCGCUUCAGAUAAUCCGGCAAGUCCGCCAGGAUCGAAGAGGAAUCUGAUACCACUUGUGACAGUAUGGAUGUUGAGAUCGCGAACACCGCUCCCGGUGUUCUCCUCCUCUCACGAAGAUCGAAUUUAGGUAGAGAAUUCAGAGUAGGGUAUUACAACGACAGAGCGUCGCCUUCCUUCCGGUCGCAGCCGGCCAAAUGGUGUCUUCCGACAUAACCCUCUCCACGCAGUGUUGCACCCCCUCAAAUACCAACAGCGUAUCUCUCAGGAAAAUUAAGAAACGAAACCACUACUGGGUCCAUUUUGGCCCACUCACUCUAUCAUUGGGCUUUCGAAUUCUCUGCGGCCUUCCUUCCAAGUUAGGAUCCUCUGGUAUUGUGACA
rnacentral:lncRNA from 1 species